GGGUAGGAGUGGUGCAGUUGCACCCGCGCCCUUUUGGGGACCCGGGCGGGCCCUCAGGACAACCUGAAUGUUCAAAUAACCUGCCAGUGAACAGCAAUACUAAUACUAAGUCAGUUGAGGGACUAAUUGCGUGCUAUCAUUAAGGUUAUCAUAAUGGUAACAGACAUUUGCACCACCCACGUAGCACACAGAGUUAACUAAAUCAAACGCCCCCUCCCAGCAUUCACUAGUGUAGUAGUUAAACUUCGGGACAACGCUUAGUGCGUUUCAUUCAAAACGAUACAGUCACACAAAGGCAAGAGUAGUGCUAAAAGAAUAAGGAGGAGCAAGACUGGAAUACAACGUUUUAAAAGUGAAGAAACUGGAUUUUCUUUUUUAUUUGUUCUGCUGUUGUCAGCAAAAGUGAGCUAACGUUAGCUAACGGUGGCUAGCAGCGGCUAGCAGCACUGCGCUUCGUCCCUCAGCACCGUGGACCCGCAGCCCGGACUUUUCCAGAUUUGAAAUUUAUAAAACCAAGAACUUUGCUUAGUGCAAGGCCAGCAGAAUGUCGUCCAAAUGGGACACAUUCUGUGAAGACAUUUAUAGCAGUCUGCAUAUGCCUUGGAAUGGGUGAAAAUCUUUUUACACAUUCUACAGAAAUGUUCGAAGAGCUGAUAUGGAUACAGCAAAACAGGAGGCAGGGGAAGCUCUGAGGGGGAUUCAAACUUCAACUAGCUGAGGUCCAUGGGUCACCACAACAUCAUCACUGGGACUACUUCACUGAAAGCUCUCUAAGAAGCGUCUCAUUGGUAUCGACAGGUCUCUGACUGCAGGGUAGUGAGUAGGCAAAUCAAUCACCGUAAAUGAGGGACAGCUGCUACACACAUUAGUUAUUCCACUCACACACCUACUGUUUACCCUUCUGGAGGCAUCAUGAACCAACUUCAACAAGACGGCAGUGAUGGGAAGAUUCCCAGUUGAUAACAGCUUUGUGAUACAGUGCACUCUCAUUUCUUGUUUGACUUUAAAACCCAUUUUAUUUUUCUAUACAGGCACUCGUAUAUAAACAGCAUGAGGGAGGAUUUUUUUCCCCAUCUCUUUCUCUAAAAAAAACAACAACAAAGUGCUAACAACACUCUACAUGUAGCUCAUUACAUUGAUUUCAAACAAGCCCUCAUGAUAGUGUGUAGCCGUUUAGCUUUCACCAGAUUUCCCCAGUGUCACUGGAUGCUGCAUAUUCACUACGACCCCAUGUCUCCUCGUCUCAACAUUCCCAU